rnacentral:misc_RNA from 1 species
ACUUUUGCGAUUCAAAAAAUGGAAAGAAGAGAUGUCAACUCUUCAUCUAUUAUUGAUCUCAAGGCAGAACUGUUCAGGAAGCAAGAAGAAUUUAAGAAACAGAAACUACAAAAUCAGAGUGUAAAUGUCAUCAGAGGAAAGGCUGUGGAAAAGAAAGCAACAAUAUGGACCAAGAAAAACAAGGGUGUAUUAGAGAGAAGUAGUAAGGACUUGGAAGAGAAGAUCGAAGAGGCCAAUCAGUUUGAAAAAUCCAGGAAAUGUUUAGAAGCAAAGGCCAAAUUGUAUGAGAAUAUAACCAAAGGAAGUAAUAUUCCAGAGGAAGAUGGAAGUCAGGUCUACUUGGUGGACUUUCAGAAAAAAGCCAUUGACAAGAUUGUGGAUGACAGGGACCGAAGGAGGAAGGAAGAGGAAGAAGAGAGGGAGCGACAAGAGGAGGAACUUUUGAGGCGUGCUGUAGUUCCUCCUCCAGCCAAUGAAGAAGAGGAAUGGGUGGACUAUGUGGAUGGGUUUGGGAGAUCCAGGAGGUGUAUGAAGAAGGACCUACCACAGCUGAUGAAACAAGACAAGAAACUUCAUCAAACCAAUAGUGAUGUGAAGGCAGAUAACAGGUCUGCUGAGCUCAUGUCCAAUGACAUGCACAAAGAGAUGCUGCGACAGAAAUGGAAAUGUGAACAGCUGGGGACAGAAUGAAUAUCACAAUGUUCCCUACUACCCCCCAGCAUAUUUACCACCACAUCCAGGGAAUUUCUAUGUACCUACUCAUCUCCCACCCCCUGGAUACUCUGAGUUUCCUUCUGUUCAACAGUGGUCACAGCAACCUCACCCUAUGGGACAAUAUCCGCCAGUAAACACUUAUUAUCCCACAACUUCAACCAUAGGUUAUUCUGUUACACCUGAAAAUUUCAAUAAUCAAAGUACUGAAAGUAUUGGAAGUCAACAAACAACAGUGGCAACAGACAGUGGUGUGACAGGAGGUCCUACUGCGGCUGUUAGUGCACAGCCUAGUGUUAAACCCACAAGAUUUAACAUUGUUGAUCCUCGUCUGAUCCAAAAUGAGGAAGUGCUGGAGUCCACCCCUCAAAACUUUACACCCUUGCUAGAGAAUUAUACAGAGCAGGCCCAAUGAUGUGGGGUUUUUUUAUUUCUUUUAUAUCAUUAUCUCGAUAAAUAUUAAUAUAAACUUGAGAAUGAUUUCAUAUUGAUUUGUUAAUAAAUCAGAUUCUGUUGUUAAAUC